GGGUGGCUCAGUGGUAGAGCGCUGGCCUGGCAUGCCUGAGGCCCUGGGUUCCAUUCCUCAGCACCCC
rnacentral:tRNA from 1 species